GCAAUGUAAUAAGUUUAUUUUGUAAUAGAAUAUAACACGGUGUAACGUUGAAUAUUUACUAUAUUUAUGUUAUUCAUUGAAAUGAAUUUUUUUCUUAAAUUGGAUACUUAGAUUGCGAAUGUUCGUACACGAUAGUACUGAAUUGUUACGAACACUUGGUACUUUGUAGAUGCAUGUUUGCUUUGUCUUCAGAUGCGUCCUCAUCCAGUGUCCAUCUGCGAUGUAUUGUCUUCUCACUCCUUAUCAAGCUUUCAGGCAAGUUCUUAUUUCAAUUACUCCAUUCACUUGUCUCAACAAAUCGUCCUUGAUGAAAUCUGCAUCUGGUGUCGACUCUCUGAAAUCCAGCUCAGACAUAAUAACUCUAAUAUUUCUCGUUAGUUUACUUACUAAUUUUGAUGGAAAUUAAACGUACAGUGGAAUCAAUAUUAGAUAAACACAACAGCGGGUACCAUUACUCUUUUUAGCAUUGUAUGUCAAAAGUAACUGCUAUAACUAUAGUAAUAAUUUGUGUCUAUAUUUAAUAAUUCGAAACAGUUUGUUGUUAGUCACGGGGGCCUGGCUAUCAUCAAACACGAUUCGUUAUUACAAAUUUAUAUGUUGUAAAGUCUUACUGACAUAUAUUACUGACCACUGUUACAAUUCCUUCCAAUAUUUCUUUUUGAAUCAGGUUGUACAAAAUCCUAUAGGUAAAUUUUUGUCGACCGAUUUGGAUCGAAUUUGAAAUGAAUAGAUGGACGUUUUAGAGACAAGACUUGCAUUGUGUAUAUAAGAGGGUUAAAAAGUAAAUGUGAAAAUUAACAGCUAAUAAAAGAGAAAAGAAUAAGAUGCAACAAAGAUCAAAAGCGAUGACAGAUUUUCAAGCUUAAAAAGUAACUCAUUUUCAUUCACUUCAAGUCAAUAAGGAUGGCCUGUUGUACUCAAAUGCUUAAGAUUUAACGCCAUUUAAUGGCUGCGGUAAAGCUACUUCUUGGUAAGUAUUCAUUUAUACUAAAUUAGCCUAGUUAUAUAUUCUUCCUGUUUAUGGAAUUGGUCCGGUUUUACACGCGUUUGGCGACACUUUGGAUUUCGCUCGUCAAACCAACUUGAAGUUUAACUUUUCGAGGCUGCACCUAAUGCGUACCACUUUAAUUAUAAAUAUCAGUAGACAAAACCGAUGAGUCAGCUGAAAGUAUUGGCAUGUAGCAGGCGUUGGCUUAUUUUGACUUUUUGUGUAUUAAUUUUCACAACGUUCAUAAUGUGCAUUAAUCAAGUGGUUCAGAACACAAUUUUGUAACACACAAUCUGUGAAAUAAUUUUUAAUUUACUUUUAGAAGUCCUCAUGUCAAUGUCGGACAACCAUUAUUCGACCCACAUGUAUCCCACAUUGCAUUGCGUGUGUUCUUCUCUAAUAGAAACAGAGCCUCCAAGAGGCCAUUAAGGACUCAUUAAAAUACCUCAAAAAAACUUUAAAAAAACCCCAAAACAAAAGUAGGAGAAAAGCCGCCCAAAAAAAGUGGGAGGGAUUGUAUAAUUAACAAUCAUUUACUGAAGUGGAGCCCCUCGCCCAGCCGCGUAUGACCAUCUCUCAAUUAUAUCUGUUAGCUUUAAAACACAAGUCUAGUACAUAGAAUGUAGAGAAUUUCGCAUUUAUUUUCUCACUGACAAAAAUGACGCCUGGACAAUGGUGCUUGGUGAAAUUCACCUAUAAAUAUGAUGUAAAGCUUACUGUUAUUUUAAAGUUAUGGACACGUCAGUUAAAACAUUCCUUAAUUUUAACAAAUUUAUUUAUGUCUUCAUUAUGGUACGGUACCAAGUCAAUAUAAACCGGCAAGAGUACUUCCUGUAUUCAAAAAGGGAUUCUUUACUAAGUAUAUUUAAUCGUAUUCUAGAAAGGUUAAUGUAAAAAAGACUAAUUAGUUACAUUGAGAAGUUUAAUAUUCUUUACACCAAACAGUUCGGAUUUCGAGAAAAACACUCUACAGAACAUGCUAUUUUAUCCAUUAUAGAUAAAAUCAAACAUGCUGUCGAGAUGGAAAAUUCUCAUGUGGCAUUUUCCUAGAUCUAAGCAAAGCAUUUGAUACUGUAAACCAAUCAAUCUUACUACAAAAACUUGAGCAUUAUGGCAUACGAGGAGUCGCAUAUGACCUGUUCGUUUCUUAUUUAACUGAACGUAAACAAUUUGUUUCAAUUGAUCAGAAAUGUUCAAGUCAUCUUUUAUUAUUCCAUGUGGAGUUCCUCAAGGUUCAGUUCUUGGACCCUCGUUGUUCCUGUUGUAUGUUAAUGAUAUUAGCUAGCCUGCGAACCGGCUCUCUUUGAACUCUCUUUGAAAUUUGAGAGAGAGCCUGCAGGCCUAGCUAAUAAAAACGCGUCUGUGCGUUGCUUAUAACGACGCAGGGUUCCCAUUGGUUGAAAUUGAAUUAAUUACAUUAUACUGCCAUAAAAGGUAAUUAAAUUUACACAACAAUAGAUUCAAAUAAAAAAAUAUCGUUCUAUAGCGACGAGUUGUAUAGAAAACUAAAUCUUUGUUUAAAGUUACAGUAAAGGAUGGGCAAUCAAAAGCUCUUAACAAUAUUCUAGACGGAAACGGUGUUUUUGCUGCGUAUAAGAGAGUUUGGCAAAUACAACGGCAACGUUCUUAUAUUAGCCUUUAGAUCUUAACAGUAAUGUGCGUCAGUUGUAUAGCCCCAGCGAGUUAACGCUCCAUAGAGCGUCUUGUUCAAUUAAGGUUGUCCGCAUUGAAAGUCAAAACUCAAGACCGCAAAACCGCCUCUAAGCGCGAAAAGCAGAAUGGACGUUAUUUUGUCUAUCCCCGACUAUACUGUAUAUGCACACCGCAUUUUGAAAAUUUAAUAUAAAUGCCCUGUUUAAUUAAUUAUACGUCGCUAUUGUGUCGAGUCAAAUUCGAUUUUCCCCCCGAAAAUCGAAAACACCUUUAUGCACCCAACUAUACGGCAUACGGCAACAACUAUACGGCAUACAACCAACUUUAAUAAAUAGGUGAUAUUAAAGUUAGAUAACAUAAAAAUGAAGUGAAACUGUCGGUAUUUGUCGGUAUUUCAAUUGUCGGCAAUUAGUACGACCGGUAUCCUGUUUGAUAACAAUAACCAUUACUAUAGGUGUUAGCAAUAUUAUAUUUUUGCACUCUCACUGAUUUGACUUGAUUAGCCCACAGCCUCACGCCGGCAUUAAUAUAUUUUGGGGGUGACUGUUAUUUUCGUGCAGUGUGAAAAGCAAUAUUUUAAAACAAACUAAAUAUUUAGAGAGUAAAUUUACUAUGAUACACUCACAAAACUAUAAAAUGUAGCUGUUACAUGGUGUUACAUACGCUUGCAGCAUUGGCAAAAAUAGUACCGCAAAAAUGGCCGCGUGAGAUAGCUAUUAAUGGCAAUGCACGAGUAACUUUGGAAAGAGUGUGAAAAUUAAUCAAAAGCGUUAUAAUUGUUGUAUUCCAGAAGGAGCUGCGGCAGAUCAUAAAAAGUCAUUAAGAAAGUGUUUCCAUCCCAAAGCGUAUAUAUAUAACAACCAAGGCCGCAGUUUUGCAGUUUCAUUUUCGCAUGUUUCAAAAAAACUCGCACGAAUGUUUUUCCUACUCUCGGUCAUUUUUGGCUUGUUGGCGUGGCAGGGCCAAGCCAUAGAUGCCGCAUAUUGUGCAAGAGCAAGAUACAAUUGUAAAGAGGAUGUAUUCCUGUGCAGAGCAGCGUUUGGAACGGCCUGUGAUGCAACAGUUAGGACGAAUAGGUAUCCACCGACGCCAAAACCGUGCUCCAAGGUAUGCCUAAGUGCUAUUAGCAUUCUAAAAAGUACUAAAAAAGGAAAAGAGUUGUUCGAUUGCGACUGCAACCUGGACGGAGAUUGCCUUGUUGUUAAGGCCCGGAUCGAAAAAUGUUUCGACACGAGUCGCAGGCGAAGAGUAAGUUGUACCAGGGCUUUGUGGAAUUGUACAAGAGAUCCUACAUGCCGUUUUCUGAAGAGCAAAUUCCAGGAUGAUUGCCGUGAAUUGUUUAACGGCGUUCGUUGAGAGGAGAAGUGUUUGAGAAUACAGGAGAGACUGUUUGAACGUUCGAAAUACGGCAAUCCCUUGAAGAAUUGCGAAUGUGAUGGCAGUAGCGAAGCUUAUUGCCGUGGAAUCAAAGCACAUGCUCAACAGUUACGCUGUAUGCCGGGGAUGGACGGCAAUGGUAAACCCGUAUUAUAACGCAACUGGGAGUGGCGAUGGCGAGAUAGAAUCAAAGGCGAAGAACCAUACCGAAAUCACCAAAACGAGUAGCAAAUCAAUAUCGAAUCUUCAAUCCUAUUCAAUAUGGACGCUGGUAUUAAUUUCACCAUUAUUUCUACUCUAAUUCUUCAGUAAUGUUUUAUGCACAUUAUCUCUACUGAGAACAGGACGCAUGGACAUUGUGCCAACAUUUGCAUGAAAGAAAAUGUAUGUUCUCAGGGUAUUUUUUGUUGUUGUCAUCUGGAAAUAAAGGACGUUUAUGGGGGUAAUAUAUUGUGCGGUGUUUCUACUGUAGGUGUAAAGUUACUGUAUAUGUUCAAUGGACCAAUCCCUCAUUAACCAAAAUUUUGAUCUCAACAAGUUUAGACAAAACAAUCAUCAGAGCUCAAAAGAGCAUCACAAAAUUAGUAACACUCCAAAAUUUCGUUGCGAAAUGUUGUAAAAUGCGGAUAAUAUAGUCCAGCGAAGUUUGCAAUUUUUCAGUCAUUUUGUAUUACGCACGGGAAAUGGUGUGCACCGAUUUCCUUGAAAUGGUUUGUGCAUCAGCUAAAAAACUCAAAGGUAAAAAAGCGAGUACCGGGGAUUCGAUUAACAAUAAAAUAAUUAAGUUCGCUGUGACUGUUUUAGCACCUUACUUUGUUAAAUUAUUUAACUCGUAAUACAAAUUUCACGCACGUAAUUGAAUGCAUUUUGAGACGAAUGCAUUUUGAGACGUUGAAUGCAUUGAGACGAUAGAAACUUUACGUUUUUUAAUUUAAGGAUUUUUAAAUAUUUGAGCGAAUAAAUACUGAAAGCUCACCCAUGAGUUUGUACAGCUAUUUCGAUUGCUUGAACUCUGCCCUUGUAUUUCUGUGGUUCAUGCCAGCCUUUGUCCUAAUAGUAAGUAAGUUAGUUACAUACACAGGGUUGCCGAGAGGGGAAGGGCAAUUUGCCCCGGCCCCCAACCAAAUGGGACCUCCAACUUGUGAGAGAUCCAGAGAGUUGGUAACAUGGAAUUUUUGUGGCCAAAUAAUGAAAAUAAUCGUGUGUAUAUGCACAUAUAUAUGCAUAUUGUAAACAAUUUAUGGUUGGAAUAAAAAUUGUUGUUGUUGUUAUUAUGACGUCUCUGGAAAAUCAAAUGGGAGACUCAGAUUGUUUAUCAAAUUGAAUCCAGACAGUAUGUCCAUGACAUGCGGUCCAUACAAAAUGAUUUUAGAACGAAAUCUGUUGGGAAAAAGUUUUUCAAAUCCGAGUCUCCUUAGCGUAAAAUUAAUGAGGUAUUCAACUUGUCUAAAUGCUUUUAAAUGCUAUAAUUAUGCUAUUAAAUGCUUUGAGAAGAUAGAGGUAACUCAUGUUUGUGUUCUCUUUUAUUUCAGAAAGAAAUC